UCCUCCUACGGGAGGCAGCAGUGGGGAAUAUUGCACAAUGGGGGGAACCCUGAUGCAGCGACGCCGCGUGGGCGAGGAAGUAUUUCGGUAUGUAAAGCCCUAUCGGCAGGGAAGAAGAAAUGACGGUACCUGAAUAAGAAGCACCGGCUAAAUACGUGCCAGCAGCCGCGGUAAUACGUAUGGUGCAAGCGUUAUCCGGAUUUACUGGGCGUAAAGGGAGCGCAGGCGGCGCGCCAAGUCUGAAGUGAAAUACCCGGGCUCAACCUGGGAACUGCUUUGGAAACUGUAUGGCUGGAGGGCUGGAG
rnacentral:rRNA from 1 species